GCUGUUUCGAGACCUUUCGAGGUGGAGAUUCUUUGGUGGAAACCGCCUUAAUCGCAGUGGCUUGAACCGGGCAAAAGUCGUAACAAGGUUUCCGUAGGUGAACCUGCGGAAGGAUCAUUAUCGAGCUUUUGAAAGCCUCAUAGCGUGCAUACUUCCAUUUGCGCGCAUGUGAGCCGCGCGCCGUGUCGCACGAUUAGUCGCCAGCUGUUUUGGCAGGCAAUGGCUAGCGCAUGGCGUGUGUUUUGAGGGUACGCGGGUGAUGCGCCGUGCUAGUUGGCGUUUCGCGAGCGCUCGAGUGCCCGUUAUUCGUAACAGCGGUGUCCAUGUUGGUGUCUACGCUUCAUCGAGCUGCCGCCGGACCGUCGGUAGCGAUGAAAGGUGAAGGGACAGUUCCUCGGUGCGCGGCAGUAAUGCUGCUGUGCCGGGUAGAGCAGACUUAAUGAGCGUUCAGCUUGCGCGCCGCCAACGACCAAAACACAACCAAAUCUUUGAGCAUUGCAGGAUGAAAAAAGCGCAUUUGUUUGCGUUUAACGUACUACUCUUAGCGGUGGAUCACUUGGCUCGUGGAUCGAUGAAGAACGCAGCUAGCUGCGAUAAAUAGUGCGAAUUGCAGACACAUUGAGCACGAAUACUUUGAACGCGCAUUGCGCCAUCGGGUUCAUUCCCGUUGGCACGUCUGGCUGAGGGUCGUUUUUUGUUCAACACGGAGGUGCGCUGCGUGAGCGCAUACUGUGGCCGUGUCCAAGGCGGCCGGCUAUUCGGAGCAGGCACGCACAGCAUGAUUGGCUCGAAUACCCGGCUUGGAUUGGACGUCGCGUCAGCGAACUCGCUUGAAAAUGCGAGGCGUGCUACGGACGAGGUGAAGCGCGGCUCGGAUGUGGCGGUUUCCCAGCAAGUGUUGAUCACGGUCCCGCUUUGGGCCGUUCGAUUCAUUCGUUGGGGGGUCGCGCGCGUGCGUCCGCUCUGCGCUGAUCGUAUGUAUGUAGCGUUUCGAAUUUCUGACCUCAGCUCAGUCGUGAUUACCCGCUGAAUUUAAGCAUAUAACUAAGCGGAGGAAAAGAAACUAACGAGGAUUCCCCCAGUAACGGCGAGUGAACGGGGAAGAGCCCAGCGCUGAAUCCCUCGGCCAUUGGUCGCUGGGAACUGUAGCGUAUAGGUGCGGCUGUCCGCUCGUUUCGCGCACCCAAAGUCCCCUUGAGCGGGGCUACAGUCCAUAGAAGGUGCUAGACCUGUACGGGUGGUGAGGCGCGCGGUAGGUUGUUCCUUGGAGUCGGGUUGCCUGAGAUCGCAGCCCAAAGUUGGUGGUAGAUCUCAUCUAAGGCUAAAUACGGCCACGAGACCGAUAGCAAACAAGUACCGUGAGGGAAAGUUGCAAAGAACUUUGAAGAGAGAGUUCAAGAGGGCGUGAAACCGCUGAGAUUGAAACGGAUAGAGUUGACGGAACUCGAUGGCAUUCAACCGAUCCGAGCGGCGGCCUCGCGGCUCUGCGCCUCGAUGAGGACAGCGACGCGAGUAGCUGCAGCUUGCUGGUGGGUGUAUUUGCCGUCGGUAUGCGCUGAGAGGUUCGCCAGCGUGCGUUGAUGGGCGUGUAGCGGACCAUUCCUUCCGGGCGUGGAACCCUUCGCGCUUUGAGGCGUAUCGUUGGUGAAUUUGAAGUGCUGUCUUCGCUAUGGUGCGUCGUAUGCGGCGCGGCUGUUGCGGCUAUUGGGCGGUCGCGUGCGACUGCUUGUAGUUUGUGACAACCCGCCGUAUUGCUUGAUGCGUCGAGAUGGCAUCUCGGUGUGAACGUUGACCACCUAUCCGACCCGUCUUGAAACACGGACCAAGGAGUCUAGCAUAUGCGCGAGUCAUUGGGUGGUAAACCUAGAGGCGUAAUGAAAGUAAACGUUGUCUUGAUGCAACUGAUAUGGGAUCCGUGCGUCCUAACGGUAGCGCGGCGCACCAUAGCCCCGUCCCCGUUGCUUGCAAUAGGGCGGAGGUAGAGCGCAUACGCUGGUACCCGAAAGAUGGUGAACUAUGCCUGAGCAGGAUGAAGCCAGAGGAAACUCUGGUGGAGGUCCGAAGCGGUUCUGACGUGCAAAUC
rnacentral:rRNA from 1 species